rnacentral:ribozyme from 1 species
UGCCAAGCAACUCCUAUCCCUACCUCCUCGUGGUACCGGCCGGAAACUAUGAGCAACCUUAGGGAACGUCGGGUAACCAACUUCGGUGGGAACUUUGGUCGUAGGCUGACAGGGGGGG